AGAGUUUGAUCCUGGCUCAGAACGAACGCUGGCGGCGUGGAUAAGACAUGCAAGUCGAGCGGAAUACAUCCUGCAGCAAUGUAGGGUGUGUUCAGCGGCGCAAGGGUGCGUAACACGUGGGUAAUUUGCCAUGAAGUUUGGGAUAACUUGCUGAAAGGCGAGCUAAUACCGAAUGUGACCUUUGGGAGGCAUCUCCUGAAAUUCAAAGUUGGGGACCUUUAUCGGCCUGACGCUUCUUGAUAAGCCCGCGGUCUAUCAGCUAGUUGGUGAGGUAACGGCUCACCAAGGCUAAGACGGAUAGCUGGUCUGAGAGGACGACCAGCCACACUGGAACUGAGACACGGUCCAGACACCUACGGGUGGCAGCAGUCGAGAAUUUUUCACAAUGGGCGAAAGCCUGAUGGAGCGACGCCGCGUGGGGGAUGAAUGGCUUCGGCCCGUAAACCCCUGUCAUUUGCGAACAAACCUUACCGGUUAACGACCGGUGAGCUGAUUGUAGCGGAAGAGGAAGGGACGGCUAACUCUGUGCCAGCAGCCGCGGUAAUACAGAGGUCCCAAGCGUUGUUCGGAUUCACUGGGCGUAAAGGGUGCGUAGGUGGUGAGGUAAGUCGGAUGUGAAAUCUCCGGGCUCAACCCGGAAAUGGCAUUGGAAACUACCUUGCUAGAGGAUUUGAGGGGGGAUUGGAAUACUUGGUGUAGCAGUGAAAUGCGUAGAUAUCAAGUGGAACACCAGUGGCGAAGGCGAAUCCCUGGAAAAUACCUGACACUGAGGCACGAAAGCUAGGGGAGCAAACAGGAUUAGAUACCCUCGUAGUCC
rnacentral:rRNA from 1 species